UACGUAGGGUGCAAGCGUUGUCCGGAAUUAUUGGGCGUAAAGGGCUCGUAGGCGGUCCAUCGCGUCGGGGGUGAAAAGCUGGGGCUCAACCCCAGUCCUGCUUCCGAUACGGGUGGACUAGAGGUAUGCAGGGGAGAGCGGAAUUCCUGGUGUAGCGGUGAAAUGCGCAGAUAUCAGGAGGAACACCGGUGGCGAAGGCGGUUCUCUGGGCAUUACCUGACGCUGAGGAGCGAAAGCGUGGGGAGCAAACAGG
rnacentral:rRNA from 1 species